rnacentral:rRNA from 1 species
ACCGAAUAGAUACCCGGGUAGUCCACGCCCUAAACUAUGUCAACUAGUUGUUGGGAGAGUUAAAUCUCUUAGUAAACGCAGCUAAACGCGUGAAGUUGACCGCCUGGGGAGUACGGCCGCAAGGUUAAAACUCAAAGGAAUUGACGGGGACCCACACAAGCGGUGGAUUAUGUGGAUUAAUUCGAUGCAACGCGAAAAACCUUACCUACCUUGACAUGUACGGAACGGGGCAGAGACGUCCCGGUGCCCGAAAGGGAACCGUAACACAGGUGCUGCAUGGCUGUCGUCAGCUCGUGUCGUGAGAUGUUGGGUUAAGUCCCGCAACGAGCGCAACCCUUACCAUUAGUUGCUACAUUCAGUUGGGCACUCUAAUGGGACUGCCGGUGACAAACCGGAGGAAGGUGGGGAUGACGUCAAGUCCUCAUGGCCCUUAUGGGUAGGGCUUCACACGUAAUACAAUGGCCGGUACAGAGGGUUGCCAACCCGCGAGGGGGAGCCAAUCCCAGAAAGCCGGUCGUAGUCCGGAUUGUUCUCUGCAACUCGAGAGCAUGAAGUCGG